GGAAGGAUCAUUAACACGUAUCCUGCGUUAAUCCCCCGUGCACGUUGACAUCCGUUGAAAGAUCUUCUUUUGAACUUUGGUUGUGCAAACGAUCGUUGUUCGAGAGUCGAUAGAAUCCGUUUCUCUGCGAAAAGUGUUGACGAAACCCUCAAAGUAUUGUUAAAAUGUAAUGUGGAGCCCGACACGAACGUCACUCUAGUGUCUAAUCCCAUACAAGAUCAUCGAUUUCUGGUGUUGAAGCAAUAAACAUCGUCUGAAAAUUUUUUUUCCUUGAAAAAAAAAAAAAAGGGGGGUGGGGCGCCCCCGUGCCGUUUUUUUUUUUUUUUCAUUUUUUUUUUUCGGUUCAAUUUUUUUUUUUUUUUUUUUUUCCAUCAAAAAGAAAAACACAAAAAGAAAAACACCAUUUUUUGUUCCUUUUUUCUUUGUGUGUGUGUGUGUGUGUGUGUGUGUGUGUGUGUGUGUGUGUGUGUGUGUGUGUGUUGUGUUGUUGCGUGUGUGUGUGUGUGUUGUGUGUGUGUGUGUGUGUGUGUGUGUGUGUGUGUGUGUGUGUGUGUGACUUAAAUUGGACCUUACGUCCUGAAUGAGGAUGAGAACCCGCACUCUUCGGAGUACGACACUCUGUUGCCUGUUUGCCCAAGCGCGUGAGAGAACAAAGUUCUGUCUGUGCGAAAGGUGAGCACUGCUUUGGAACUGUCAGUUGCUGGGUUCGCGAUGAUGACGAAAUGGUUUUCUUCCACCCGUCUUGAACACGGAACAAGGAGUCUAACAUAAAUGCGAGUAUUUGGGUGACAAACCCUGAUGUGCAAAUCGUUCGUCUGAUUUGGGUAUAGGGGCGAAAGACUAAUCGAACCAUCUAGUAGCUGGUUCCCUC
rnacentral:misc_RNA from 1 species